rnacentral:lncRNA from 1 species
UCAUUUUUAUUGCUAUAAAACCCCAUAUCAUAAAGCAACAUAUCAUCAACUUAUCAAAUUUAUUGGGAUACAAAACAUCCUUCAUGUAGCAAAGCUACAGGGAGCCCUUUCAGAGGUUGGGACUGACAGUGCUUUAGCUGCUAUCGUAAAUAUUUUGACAGUUGAGUCAUGGGGAAAUUUCUUGUUUACAGGGAAUUUUAGGAACUUGAGCUGAAGGUCUUCACCAUCUAUUUAGCACACCUUGGGGCACGUUAGUGGUCACGUAGUGGAACUCAGCACGUUUCAGGCUCAGGUUUAAUCGCUGUACUUUGCUUGCAGCUGGAAGGCAAAGCUUAUUUUUUUUUUAUUUUGUGAAAAUUUAAGCCAAAAACUGAAAAAAAAACCAUAACUGAGCAUAAUCAGUGCCAAGUAGGUGUGAUGCCAGCUAAUCUAUUUAAUUACACUCAAGCAAUUCAGUAAUCACUGCUUAAUUAAAUAAUGAUUUUGCAGGGAAAAUUGUAGGAUCACUUGAUUGAUCCUGUAUGCAGCUUACAUGCAUUAUUAAAGGUUUUUCUGCUCUUCCUGGUUUUAAUGUGCCAAGAAGAUCCCCAAACUCCUUUUUGAAGAAAUUCCAUUUUUCUUCUUAUUAAAUGUGUUCCUUCCUGGUUAUUAUAUUCCAUAUAAUAAUUAUAAUAGGAACUGGCUUAUUUUACCAAUGGACUACAUUGCAAUUAUCUUGAAAUUUUCCUUUGGAAUUGUUAUUCCAUGAAUAAUUAUUUCAAAAGCAUAAUUUUUAUACAUGCUAAAAUAAGAGGUUAGAGGUUGCUUGAAACUCACAAUUUUCUAGGUACUUUUGGGAAGGGAAACAAAUGAUUAAAUUUAAAAGUUGUUUUUCUUCACUGUGUGUGUCAAAUGAAGUACUGUUGGAACAAACCCUUGGCAGUAGAAAAUACGAGAUUUAAAAGUGCACGUUUGUUGUUUUCAUUUAGUCAGAUGUUUAAAAAGAAAGAAAAAAGGAGGUAAAGAAGAAAAAAAGCACAGUGCCUGGAAUAUUUUCACAUGGCAAACUGCAGUAUAGCUUGAGCAGCAAUUUCUAACCUCAGAGCAUGCAGAGAAGGAAUGAAAUACUCACGGUGCUUGCAGGAGCUCCUCUCCCGUGCCGGUCCCAGCUCUGCUCCAGCUGCAGCCCAGCAGGCCUUUCCCUAUUUAUCAGUUUGUGUGCACAGCCCGGGCUCCAGACACUCGGCAGAGCCACGCUGCGGCUCCGAGACACCAACUUCCCACACAGCUCCUCUGGGGUCGGAGCAAGGGCAGCUGUGAGCCCACAUAAAUCACAGCAGAACU